UACAGAGGUCCCAAGCGUUGUUCGGAUUCACUGGGCGUAAAGGGUGCGUAGGCGGUUUGACAAGUCUGAUGUGAAAUCCCGCAGCUUAGCUGCGGAACUGCAUUGGAAACUGUUUGACUAGAGGAAUGGAGGGGAGACUGGAAUACUUGGUGUAGCAGUGAAAUGCGUAGAUAUCAAGUGGAACACCAGUGGCGAAGGCGAGUCUCUGGACAUUUCCUGACGCUGAGGCACGAAAGCCAGGGGAGCAAACGGG
rnacentral:rRNA from 1 species